GAGGAGGGAGAGGAGGUGCUGCAGUGGGAGGAGAAGGAGGUGAAGGACUUCAUGAGCACUCUGGACACACAGCUGGACGGAACACUCUCAUGUGUGCACUCUAAGAACAAGAAGAACAGGAGGCUGCACCUCUACUUCAAGAAGCUGAGAAACGAAACUGUGGAGAAAAUGGAGGACAAGGUCAAGGCCUGGGAGCUGGUGAGGAAGGAAGUCAGAAACCACCUGAGGAGAGUCAACCACCUGGCCAGCAUUCACAUCUAAACACACAGGCACCACCUGGCCAGCAUUCACAUCUAAACACAUAGGCACCACCUGGCCA